AGUUCCAGUAAAGGUCCACCUACAGGUAUAUAAGACACUGAUGAGAUCGUGAGAUCUGCAGUUCAGCAUCACUGUGUUAAACUACUGAAGAGAGAAUCUCAUAGACCAUCAUCAAUCUGAGAGCUGACCUCAGGUGCCGUUCGACACAAUGAGGUUUCUGAUCUCACUGUGUGUGUCGCUGCUGAUGAUUAAUGGUGAAAUAACCAAUGGACAAACAACAGGUUCAAU